UACGGGGGGGGCAAGCGUUGUUCGGAAUUACUGGGCGUAAAGGGCUCGUAGGCGGCCAACUAAGUCGGAUGUGAAAUCCCCAGGCUCAACUUGGGAACUGCAUCCGAUACUGGAUGGCUUGAAUUCGGGAGAGGGAUGCAGAAUUCCAGGUGUAGCGGUGAAAUGCGUAGAUAUCUGGAGGAAUACCAGUGGCGAAGGCGGGUCUCUGGACAGUUCCUGACGCUGAGGCACGAAGGCCAGGGGAGCAAACGGG
rnacentral:rRNA from 1 species